GCGGGCGUAGUUCAAUAGUAGAACGAGAGCUUCCCAAGCUCUAUACGAGGGUUCGAUUCCCUUCGCCCGCUCCA
rnacentral:tRNA from 1 species